rnacentral:rRNA from 1 species
UACGUAGGGCGCAAGCGUUAUCCGGAAUUAUUGGGCGUAAAGAGCUCGUAGGCGGUUUGUCGCGUCUGCCGUGAAAGUCCGGGGCUCAACUCCGGAUCUGCGGUGGGUACGGGCAGACUAGAGUGAUGUAGGGGAGACUGGAAUUCCUGGUGUAGCGGUGAAAUGCGCAGAUAUCAGGAGGAACACCGAUGGCGAAGGCAGGUCUCUGGGCAUUAACUGACGCUGAGGAGCGAAAGCAUGGGGAGCGAACA